GACGAACGCUGGCGGCGUGCUUAACACAUGCAAGUCGAACGGAAAGGCCCUGCUUUUGCGGGGUGCUCGAGUGGCGAACGGGUGGGUAACACGUGAGUAACCUGCCCUUGACUUUGGGAUAACUUUAGGAAACUGGGGCUAAUACCGGAUAGGAGCUCCUGCUGCAUGGUGGGGGUUGGAAAGUUUCGGCGGUUGGGGCUGGACUCGCGGCUUAUCAGCUUGUUGGUGGGGUAGUGGCUUACGAAGGCUUUGACGGGUAGCCGGCCUGAGAGGGUGACCGGCCACAUUGGGACUGAGAUACGGACCAGACUCCUACGGGAGGCAGCAGUGGGGAGUAUUGCGCAAUGGGCGGAAGCCUGAUGCAGCAGCGCCGCGUGCGGAAUGACGGCCUUCGGGUUGUAAACCGCUUUCGCCUGUGACGAAGCGUGAGUGACGGUAAUGGGUAAGGAAGCACCGGCUAACUACGUG
rnacentral:rRNA from 1 species